GGGCUUGUGGUCUAGUGGUAUGAUUUUCCCUUAGCAUCGCUUGAAUCCCAUCAAGCUCUAGCCUGGGAAAGGUCCUGGGUUCAAUUCCCAGCAAGUCCA
rnacentral:tRNA from 1 species